AGUUGUCCGCCCCUCAGGGGACUUUCUGAUAAUUUAUCACCGUUGAUUAACCACUCAAAGAAUAUGUUAUCGUUUUUAAAUAGCUACUUGAAAUAGAACCACGAGUUGCAGUUGUUGGCAGCACGAAUGUGUUGUGCCCUUAAGAAGGUGAAAAGUAACGGGAGAAGGUUAAAGAAGCACACACACGCAGCUCUCGCCUUCACUCGUCUGUAUUGAAUGAGUCCUUGAACAAUAUAUACAACAAAACCCAAUCGUUUCAAUAUUCAUGCACUCAUCAGAUUCAGGACCACAGUCACAAUUAUCUUAAUAUGGUACGGUAAUGUACCGUCAUUCAUAAAUACAGCUGAAUACUAUAUAUGUUGACUCCUUGGGGGAACAAAAAUAAUAACAGCAAGCUAAUGUACAAUCUCACGGUAUAAUACAGGUUUUUUUGUUUUGUUGCCAGGGUCCGCCCAUAACCCAUCUGAGCACAGUUAUGUUGUGAAAGUUACUGCUUGACAUUAGCCUACUUUGUGUUAACCCAUAGUGCAAGCAUGCAUGCAAACAAAACAUAUUGCAUAAAAAAAGUUUCAUAAAAGUAAACUGUAUACAUUUACUAGUUACAUGCUAAAAUAUAGAGUAAUACACCAGAUAGAUAUAGAGCGUCAUUAGGUUGCUCUCACAUCUGCCAUGUUUCCCAAUAAAGGUAAUCUAAAUUAGAAUUUGAUUUCAAAAGAGAGUGAUAGAGAGGAGGGCCUCACUGCGCUUGCGUGUGCAGUCUGAACCCAGGGUAAUGUUUGCAUAUCUGAAGCUGUCUUUGACCCUUUUUUGAUGUCUUUCCAUUGGCUUUAAGCAUUUCAUUAACCUCUAUUUUUUAUUUUUGUUUGAAUGCAUCCCCCAUGUACACCUAAAGUGAUGCUGUUAAUACAAGUUAGGUUUGUUUGUGACUUCUCUACAAUAGUGUAUACUGGUAAAUACAGGAUUUUGUCUAUUUGCGUUAGGAGUGAGAAACUUGCCACUUAAAAUUGAGCUCCAAUAUAGCCAUCUGCAAUGUUCUGAAAUAAUUAAUGUCCUACGUUUGGUCUUUAGACAGCCAAGCUGCUACAGGUUGUGUCCUUUGCUUCUCUCUUACUCUGUCUGUCUCCCAUCUGCUGCAGGUUCAAAUACUCCAGUUCAUGAAAUGAAUAAGGCACUUUAACCCCAAGAAGGGAACAAAGGCCAGCUGGGGUAAGGUGGUGCCCAAGAAGACCAGGAAGCUGGUCCAGCAAAUGUGAAUUCCCAUGUGGCCCCCCUUAUAAAAAACUCCUGGAUUUUGAGAGAGGUUAUGUAGUCUACAACACAUCUCCACACAGGACUUAUGGUUAGUCCAGUUGUUUGAGUUGAGUAGUGAUAGUUCAAGGUUUGUUUCUAUUUCUAUCUCAUUCGCUUUCUAUUGCACAUCAUGAUCAUAACUCAUGGACACUGAAGGCAGGGAACAGUUUUAAGUAUGGUAUGAAAAUUGUUGAAAGAACCUGCUUGAGAUGAUUAAUUGUUGUUAUGGAUUGUGUUUUACAAGAAUUACAUUACUUGAAAUUUGUUAGCUGCUGAAGGUGUAUGAAGCUGUGGCUUUAAUACAUAAUGUUACAUGGCAUCUCUUGUUCAAGAAAAAAUUAAACUGAAUAUAGGGUACAUGGACUAGGCUAGUAAAGCAAGAACCGCUUCAGAAAUUGCGUUUUACUUUAUUUUAUUUUAGAGAAAUGUACUUAUUUUAAAAUUUAUCAUUUUAUUUUUUUCAUACCACAUUGACUUUAAUAAAUGCCAAAUGUUGUAAGGGCAA